rnacentral:rRNA from 1 species
UGGGGAAUAUUGGACAAUGGGCGCAAGCCUGAUCCAGCAAUGCCGCGUGUGUGAAGAAGGCCUUCGGGUUGUAAAGCACUUUCAGUGGGGAGAACGAAUUCAUUCUUAAUACGGGUGGAGGAAGAUGUUACCCACAGAAGAAGCACCGGCUAACUCUGUGCCAGCAGCCGCGGUAAUACAGAGGGUGCGAGCGUUAAUCGGAAUUACUGGGCGUAAAGGGUGCGAAGGUGGUUGCAUAAGUUAGGAGUG